UGAGGAAUAUUGGUCAAUGGACGAGAGUCUGAACCAGCCAAGUAGCGUGCAGGAUGACGGCCCUAUGGGUUGUAAACUGCUUUUGUUUGGGAAUAAUCGACAUUACGUGUAAUGUUUUGCAUGUACCAUUCGAAUAAGGACCGGCUAAUUCCGUGCCAGCAGCCGCGGUAAUACGGAAGGUCCAGGCGUUAUCCGGAUUUAUUGGGUUUAAAGGGAGUGUAGGCGGUUGGUAAAGCGUGUUGUGAAAUGUAGAUGCUCAACAUCUGACUUGCAGCGCGAACUGGCUGACUUGAGUACACACAACGUAGGCGGAAUUCAUGGUGUAGCGGUGAAAUGCUUAGAUAUCAUGAAGAACUCCGAUUGCGAAGGCAGCUUACGGGAGUGUUACUGACGCUUAAGCUCGAAGGUGCGGGUAUCGAACAGG
rnacentral:rRNA from 1 species